UACGAAGGACCCGAGCGUUAUCCGGAUUUAUUGGGUUUAAAGGGUGCGUAGGCGGAUUAGUAAGUCAGUGGUGAAAGCCCAUCGCUUAACGGUGGAACUGCCAUUGAUACUGCUAGUCUUGAGUAUGGUUGAGGUGGGCGGAAUGUGUCAUGUAGCGGUGAAAUGCUUAGAUAUGACACAGAACACCAAUUGCGAAGGCAGCUCGCUAAACCAUAACUGACGCUGAUGCACGAAAAGCGUGGGGAGCAAACAGG
rnacentral:rRNA from 1 species